rnacentral:rRNA from 1 species
CGCGGCCUAUCAGCUUGUUGGUGAGGUAAUGGCUCACCAAGGCGACGACGGGUAGCCGGCCUGAGAGGACGACCGGCCACACUGGGACUGAGACACGGCCCAGACUCCUACGGGAGGCAGCAGUGGGGAAUAUUGGGCAAUGGAGGAAACUCUGACCCAGCGACGCCGCGUGCGGGAUGAAGGCCUUCGGGUUGUAAACCGCUUUCAGCAGGGAAGAAGCGAAAGUGACGGUACCUGCAGAAGAAGCACCGGCUAACUAUGUGCCAGCAGCCGCGGUAAUACAUAGGGUGCAAGCGUUGUCCGGAAUUAUUGGGCGUAAAGAGCUCGUAGGUGGUUCGUAACGUCGGGUGUGAAAAUCUGGGGCUCAACCCCAGACCUGCAUUCGAUACGGGCGAACUAGAGUGUGGUAGGGGAGACUGGAAUUCCUGGUGUAGCGGUGGAAUGCGCAGAUAUCAGGAGGAACACCAAUGGCGAAGGCAGGUCUCUGGGCCAUUACUGACACUGAGGAGCGAAAGCGUGGGGAGCGAACAGGAUUAGAUACCCUGGUAGUCCACGCCGUAAACGGUGGGCACUAGUUGUGGGAACCUUCCACGGUUUCUGCGACGCAGCUAACGCAUUAAGUGCCCCGCCUGGGGAGUACGG